rnacentral:SRP_RNA from 1 species
GCUGGGCAUGGUGGCGGGUGCCUAUAAUCCUAGCUACUUAGGAGGCUGAGGCAGGAGAAUCGCUUGAACCCAGGAGGCAGAGAUUGCAGUGAGCCGAGAUCUUGCCACUGCAUUCCAGCCUGGGUGACAGAGUGAGACUCUGUCUCAA